CUGGUGGCACGAUGAUACUCCAGUGGUCCGUCAGUGAUCCAAAUUUGCUGUUCAAAAAAAAAAACAAAUGCUUCGGAUGUUGUUCCAUUGAAGGAUUCGUUUUCCUGUAUCGGUGAUGAAGAAACUCCAAUUUCUUCUUUUAAUAAAAGCAUGUUUUUAACCCGUCCGCUGAUGCGAGUACUUCUUCUACUGUACUUAUGGAAAAGGAAUUGAAGCGUAACUUGGAUAGCCUUUAUGAUGUUGAUGCGAUAUCUUCCCAGUCGUCUUCCAAGCCACGUAAAGUUGUAAAUGAGAACGAAGACGGUGUUGGUGUGAGCGUUGGUCUGUUGGUCCCAAAGGUUGAGGAGUAGUUUGUUAUGACAACUCUUGAUUUAAACAAACUUUUGUUUUUCAAGUUUUAUGUUUUUGCUAUUGCUUACCGUAUUUCAUUCGGGUUAUUAAAGACAUUUUUGCUGGUUAUG